UACGUAGGGGGCAAGCGUUGUCCGGAUUCAUUGGGCGUAAAGGGUGCGUAGGCGGCGCGGUAAGUCGGGUGUGAAAUUUCGAGGCUUAACUUCGAAACUGCAUUCGAUACUGCCGUGCUAGAGGACUGGAGAGGAGACUGGAAUUUACGGUGUAGAGGUGAAAUUCGUAGAUAUUCGCAAGAACACCAGUGGCGAAGGCGGCUCACUGGCCCGAUACUGACGCUGAGGCACGAAAGCGUGGGGAGCAAACAGG
rnacentral:rRNA from 1 species